UAAUCUACUAUUGAUUUUAUAGUGUACGUUUGUACGUUUGUGAUUGCCGCGAUAACACGGUUCCAGUACUUUUCCGGCGUGAUGUAAGAACUGUGAGUGUUUGUCAUAGUUAUCGUUUACUAUUAUUAUACGCGUUUAACAUUUUAAGGCGACGAAUGCGGGAAACGGUAAUUUCUUUACAUUUCAUACAAUUUACAUUAGCGUUCAGUCAUUCAAGGGGGACUUUAAAACCGAGUUUCUUCCCAGAAAUCUUUAGCCGCCCACCGACGAAAUAUAAUUUACCAUACUUAGACAUUUUUUAACCGAAUCUCAAAGCAAUCUCAAGGUAUACAAUAAACUAUAGCGUUAAAUACUUUGACGGGUUUGACGGGUUUCAUUAAAAUUUAAAAAUAAUUACGCCAGCCGUGCUGAUGGUCGGUUCACAGGUACUGUUGACAGGUUACACAAAGAACGUUUUGAGUGCACGCGUUCGCGACAAAUAACAAUUGUGUAUUAUUUUAAGUAAGAUAAUUAUAUAAAAU